AGGGGAGGGGGCUGGGUGACGUCACUCCCCAACAUCCUUCCACCCAGCCAGAAAAGACCCUCUCAGAUUCACUCAACUCAUCCUGGUGCAGGCACAUGCACACCCGGGCGCUUCCCGCUCUGCUUCCUGAAGCACAGGAGGAAGAAAGGCUGGUCGCGCCCUAUUCAAAGCAGUUGAAUAAUACAAGGGGCGUUCAUUGAUGAGACUGAGUUGUGUCUAUCCCAGUUCACCUUGGCAUCCUCCUUCUUGGACUUUUCUGUAGGAUCCUUACUUUGAAGGCAGAGAGGAAGGAAGGGAAGUACCCAAAUCUUGGUGUGAAAACUCCUAGGGUGCUUUCAACUACUUGCUCUUAUGUUAGCAAAGCACUGCUCUCCGGCUUUCCUGAAAGACAACAAAAACCUCUCCAGACAGGCACCAAUGGUUGGACCAGGGUGGAAAAGGUGCCUGGUGCGGAUUGCUAGCUAAAAGACGUGUUUAAGCUUCUUCCUUACUCAUAUGAUCUCCAGCAUGUGGGGGAAGUCAGCAGCUGGAAGCCUCCACUGGCAACCAGCCCAUCAAAAUUCAUUAGGAACACCAUGAGAAAGGUCAAGUGAAGCGAAGCCUGGGCCUUCAAGCCACCUCCACUGCUCAUUCUGUGUUCAGGCCAGCCAAUGCAAACAGCACUUACUCCUGCAGACUCGAACAGUCUUGGAAGGAGCAAAGGUAAGCAGACCUCUUUAGAAGCAACCUAGUGGUCCAGUAUCUAGCACCCUGACUGUCGUCUCUAGCUGCCUGUGUAUCUGCUUCAGUCCUCUGCAUGCUGUGCACUUGAAAAUUACUGAAUGGAUGGUCAGUAUUCCUCUUGUCCUGUACACUGCAAAACGAAGGCAUACCGUUUGGAAGGAGUCUUAUGAGAUGUCGUUUAGUUUCUCAACAUGUUGGGAGUAAAGAAGCACCCUCGACCAACUCUCCCUUAUUGUUUUUUAACCUCCAUUUCCUCCUCUUUGAAUGGUUAGCCUUACAGUGAGAACCACAAAGAAGUGCAUUAUUGUGCAAGUUCCAAGCCAUGUUUAACCAAGUUUUGGAUGGAACCCACUGAAAGCUUGAACAGAGACAAUGAACUGUCUAAUCUCUCUGCCCUCAGAGUUAAUCUAGAAAUCUGAGCUUCUUGGUAAAUCACUCUCCUCCAGUAUAUAAACUACAGAUUGUCUCCCUUAUUGGCACAUCCUCCCUCAUGAACUAGUGACCCUACUUUUCUCAUCUAGAUGUUGGAAAUACCUCCUCUGGGCAUUGGAAAGACAAGGUGCCUUCUGCCUCCACAUCUGACCUUGCUGAUCAGAGCCUACUAGCAGUGAAGCCUGACUACUCUGGGUUCAUGGUCUGGGAAGUACUCUCUUCUCCAACUAGGAGCUAGAGAACUCAGUACUGGCUGUUGCCAAGUAUUUCACUGAGAGCAGAGAAGGCAGUUGCACAAGGGUAGAGGAGUGAAGACAGCCUGCUAACACUGAGAGCAGUAACAAAGGCGCAGAGCCAGGAGACCAUCGAGGCUCUGGUACGGGAAGCCACACAUCAGCCAAUCCUUCCACUUCUUUCUCCAGUUCACCACUGGCUUCUGACAUUGAAGCCCCGGUGAAGAGGUUUGGCCACAAGGAAAGAGAUUCUUCCGCAAACUUCGAGAAAGGUCAGCAAUUCUGUGAAGGGGCACAUUGAUGGGGAGAAUGCUGAUUUGAAUGAGAAAAUAUUUGAUCUCCCUUUCUUUACUUACUGUAUUAAGUUUGGUUCUAGCACAAAAGUUUCCAAGUGCGCAUGAGCGCGCACGCGCGCGCGCGCACGUGUGUCUGUGUGUGUGUGUGUGUGUGUGUGUAU
rnacentral:sRNA from 1 species